AGGGGUGAAAAGAACAAAGUUUUGUCCAUCUUUGUUCAUCAUAGCCUAAAGUUAGAGAAGAGAAAGGAGAGGAGAAAGCUCUUGAAUGUUUGGUCACUUGGGGAAGAAAAUUGAAGGAAAUUCCCAACCAUAGUGGGCUUGGAGCUGUGAGGGAAUUCGGAGUGGCCACCCGUUCUGAAAGUUUGAUUUUCUUCUGGUGAACUGGACAUCCUUUUAUUUACAUUUGAGGUUUUGGGUUUUUAAAUGUAAUAAGGCUGCUUAAUUAUUUUUGAUGGUUUUAA